GGACCCGUAGCUCAGUUGGUUAGAGCGUCCGCCUGUCACGCGGAAGGUCAGGGGUUCGAGUCCCCCCGGGUCCGCCA
rnacentral:tRNA from 1 species